rnacentral:rRNA from 1 species
GAUGAACGCUGGCGGCGUGCCUAAUACAUGCAAGCCGAGCGAACGGACGAGAAGCUUGCUUUUCUGAUGUUAGCGGCGGACGGGUGAGUAACACGUGGAUAACCUACCUAUAAGACUGGGAUAACUUCGGGAAACCGGAGCUAAUACCGGAUAAUAUUUUGAACCGCAUGGUUCAAAAGUGAAAGACGGUCUUGCUGUCACUUAUAGAUGGAUCCGCGCUGCAUUAGCUAGUUGGUAAGGUAACGGCUCACCAAGGCAACGAUGCAUAGCCGACCUGAGAGGGUGAUCGGCCACACUGGAACUGAGACACGGUCCAGACUCCUACGGGAGGCAGCAGUAGGGAAUCUUCCGCAAUGGGCGAAAGCCUGACGGAGCAACGCCGCGUGAGUGAUGAAGGCCUUCGGAUCGUAAAACUCUGUUAUUAGGGAAGAACAUAUGUGUAAGUAACUGUGCACAUCUUGACGGUACCUAAUCAGAAAGCCACGGCUAACUACGUG